AUUGAACGCUGGCGGCAUGCUUUACACAUGCAAGUCGAGCGGCAGCGCGGGGGCAACCCUGGCGGCGAGCGGCGAACGGGUGAGUAAUGCAUCGGAACGUAUCCUUGAGUGGGGGAUAACCCAGCGAAAGUUGGGCUAAUACCGCAUGAGCUCUGAGGAGGAAAGCGGGGGACCUGCGAGGGCCUCGCGCUGGAGGAGCGGCCGAUGUCCGAUUAGCUAGUUGGUGGGGUAAAGGCUUACCAAGGCGACGAUCGGUAGCUGGUCUGAGAGGAUGAUCAGCCACACUGGGACUGAGACACGGCCCAGACUCCUACGGGAGGCAGCAGUGGGGAAUUUUGGACAAUGGGGGCAACCCUGAUCCAGCCAUGCCGCGUGAGUGAAGAAGGCCUUCGGGUUGUAAAGCUCUUUCGGACGGAACGAAAUGGGCGGGACUAAUACUCCUGUCUGAUGACGGUACCGUAAGAAGAAGCACCGGCUAACUACGUG
rnacentral:rRNA from 1 species